rnacentral:lncRNA from 1 species
GGUAAAUGAUCAAAAUGUAUUUUGCAUAAAUUAAAGAUGGUAUCCAUGGUCUGGAGGGAAAGGUGUCUAGAUGCAAUUUGGAUAGGGAGUGAUAAGGUUUAAUAGAUUAAUUAUGAAUUAAUCAAAAAAAUUCAUCCAAAAAUACAACAAAUUUUUUUUUUUAAAAAAAAGAUAGUUAGGACUAACAAGGCCAAACUGCACCAAGAAAAGAUGG